GCCUGGAGGCCACGUGUCAUCAUGAAACCAGGGUCACGGGUCUCCCAGCACGACAGAACUGCCCUCCUGGGUCUGGGUGAGGUCCUUUGCUGCCAAUACUCUUUGUCGUGUGCCGGGUCGGUUUCGUAAUUCAUCUGAAGUCUGACGGCACGUCUGCUCCCGCAAACCACGGGACAACCAGGCAGCAAGCUGACUGCGGAAGCCGUAGUCACUGGUGUGAACAAUAGUUUUCAAAGCCUCUGCCUCACAUACCUUUCCUGGACAUCUCAACGCGUGGGAAGAAAACCAAUGUGCCUUUGUAAGCAGAAUUUACAAGUUAGUAGCUGAAUUCGGAACCUCAAAGAAAGGCAGGAAAUUCCCCCUGAGCUACUCUGCGCCUCCCUGCUAAGCACGUUGGUACAUCAAUUCCCUUCUUUUCGCUGAUGGGAAAACUGCGGAUGCCAGGGUGGCCCUUUCGAGAACUGUAAAUUGUGAGCCCACCUGUCUCAGCUUAGGACGAUCUAAGACUGACUGAUAAAUUUUAUAUGUUGAAAUCCUGGAAAAACGACAGGAUAUGAACAGUGUCUCCCCCAAAGCCACAAACUGAAAUGCCUCAAACGUCUGUUUCACACCGGACAGAAAAUGACAGUAGUUUUGAAACGGGGAAACUCCGGUUAUAAAGGACGGCAUGAUACCAGAGACACAGACGCGUGAGGUGUCAGCACAGGGAGCUUGCUGAGAGUCCAGAGCCCCGGGGAUAGCCACCAGGUGAGCCCCAGGGAUACCCACCAGGUGUGGGUGAGCCAGCGCCCGGACACUCCUACCUGAAGAAGUAGGCUGCAAGGAACAGGAACAGCAGCAAGGGGAGCAGCAGCCAGGCCAGCAGGGGCUGGGGCGCGCCGGGGGCCGGAGGGCCGGGGGCCGGAGCGCCUGGGGGCAGAAGCAGGUCCCCGUCAGGACCCGAGGCACAAGGGGAAGCGGGCUCUGGGCAAGGAAAGGUUCCCAACAGCAGACCUCGCAGUUUGCAAAGUGGCCCUCCCACCAGCCCCCCUUCCCUGAUGCCAGACCCCACUUUAGAGGUCACCAAUUCGUCCCCCCCAUCCCAGCGGCCCAGGACACCAGAACCCUCCUUUACAGUUUACAAACUCCCUUCGUCAACAGUCCUUCUUCCUGGACACCAAAACCUCACUUCACAGUUUGCAAAGUAGUCACUCCCUCUCAACCCUUCUUCCCUGACACGAGAACCCCACUUUACAGUUUGCAAACUCCCUCCUUCAUCUGCCCUUCUUCCCGGACCCCAUUUUACAGUUUGCAACUCAGUCCACCAUCCUGGUCCAUUGGGUCCACAAAGGCCCCUCUACUUAGAUGAGCAGCGUUGACACCAAGAAGAAGCUGAGCUGACGAUGUGAUGACCUGACGUGUCCAAGGCCCCCUGCUGCUGGGUAGUGAAGGCCCAGACCCCCGUGUGACCUGUUUCCCCAGGUCCCAGGGCACCUGUCCCUCCCGCUAACGGGAGGUGGAGGAGGGUGGGAGUGUAGAUGCCCUGCUGCUCUGUCCCAGGACAGUGGCCCGUGGUCGCAUGGUGACCCGGCCUCCCGGAGCCGUGAGCUGCCGACCUCACCCGCCCAGACGAAAGCUGCUGACCAGGCACCACCCGCGCUCCCCUUUCAUCUGUCUUUCCUGGACCAGAAGGUGCCACGUCCCUGGACCCAACGUGGCUGCCCAGGGCCUGGCCCGCAAGCCUGAACUCCAGGGGGCUCUGGUGGCCCGGCCGCCACCCUCAGAGCCCACCCCUCCCCCAGUGUUCUGACUCAGCUCCUGUCCCCUCAGACUGCCCUGCGGCGCCCUCCUCUCCAAAGCGUCCUCGCCCGCCAAGGAGCACCUCAAAGGCCCCUCGUCCACGAAGCCCACGCAGCUCCCCUCCAGUGGAUCCCAGAGGGGCUCUGUGUGCCUAUAGCACACAGCCUAUUCUCCUGGGGGGAACAGGACCGGGGGGCCCGCCUUCACCCUUGUUUCAGUGGAAGCCCCUAGAAGGCAUGACUGGACCGUCAUCGCUCUGAGUCACAGAAGCACCAACAGGGCCCCUGAGCCCAGCGGGGGCUCCACAGCCCCGCAGCCCCCCAUCUCGCACCCCUCCCCACGUAUCCCAAAGUUGUAACGGGUAUCUCACCCCUGGGCCGGGAGCUCUGCCGCCGGGGCCCUGCGCUGACGCCAGCACCCUGUGGGUGGUCAGUGCUAUAUUCCUAAUAAAUG